AACGGCCAUACCAUGCUGAAUAUACCGGUUCUCGUUAGAUCACCGAAGUCAAGCAUCAUUGGGCGCGGUCAGUACUUGUGUGGGUGACCACCUGGGAACACCGCUUGCCGU
rnacentral:rRNA from 1 species